rnacentral:lncRNA from 1 species
AAAGGCUGCUCUGUACGCGUAAAACUCAAUUUCACCUCCACCAACUCACAUUGGAUGCUAUACAUGUGAGAAACAUUCCCAGCUGUAAAAGGGAGAUGUAAUCCUCAUUUCUUGACCACCUUUCAUCAUAAAAUAGCCAAAUGCAUUGCAAAAAUAGGAGAUUGGGAGUUCAUAGCAGAAAAAUAGAGAGUGAGCUACGGG